GAUGAACGCUGGCGGCGUGCCUAAUACAUGCAAGUCGAGCGAACGGACGAGGAUCUUGCUUCGCUGAUGUUAGCGGCGGACGGGUGAGUAACACGUGUAUAACCUACCUAUAAUUCUGGGAUAACUUCGGGAAACCGGAUCUUAUACCGUAUGAUAUUUUGAACCGCAUGGGUCGAAAGUGAAAUACGGUCUUUGUGUCACGUAUAGCUGGAUCCGCGCUUCAUUAGCUAGUUGGUAAGUUAACGGCUUACCAAGGCAACGAGGCAUAUACGAAGUAAGGGGGUGAUCGGCCACACGGGAACUGAGACACGGACAAGACGACUACGGGAGGCAGCAGACGGGAACCUUAGGCAACGGGCGAAAGCAUGACGGAGCGAGCGCGAGCCAGUGAUGAAGGUCUUCGGAUCGUAAAAAUCUGUUAUUAGGGAAGAACAUCUGUGUAAGGAACUGUGCACAGAUUGACGGUAACUAAUAAGAAAGCAACGGCUAACUACGUG
rnacentral:rRNA from 1 species